UCUAAUAUGGCAGAUUAGUGCAAUGGAUUUAAGCUCCAUAUAUGAAGUAUUUUACUUUUAUUAGAA
rnacentral:tRNA from 1 species